AUGCUACACAAUACCAACAACUGGGAUGGCACCCAUGUCCUGGAGUAUAGGCCAAAAGACAUAGCCAACAUGAGGAUGAUACUAAUGGCAAAAAUGGUGAAGAGUGAGCACAGCGAUGUCAACUGGGCAAAGAUGCUCAACAUCAAGAAGGUAAAAAAAUGUCUGCAACGCACACAAGAACUUAGUUAUCAGUUUUUAACUUUUUAUGGCAUAACACCAACCACUUCUGUUUCAGUAGCACAGAACAUAAAUUACAUGGUCUUUUUCAACAUACCACAGAUACAACUUCAUGUACAGAGUACUUAUUUAGUAGUCCCUCACAUCGAUCGUCAGCCAUAA
rnacentral:rRNA from 1 species